GAUGAAGAACGCAGCGAAAUGCGACAAGUAAUGUGAAUUGCAGAAUUCAGUGAAUCAUCGAAUCUUUGAACGCACAUUGCGCCCCUUGGUAUUCCGAGGGGCAUGCCCGUUCGAGCGUCAUUAUACCCCUCAAGCCUAGCUUGGUGUUGGGGCCUGCUGUUACCGGCAGCCCUUAAAAUCAGUGGCGGUGCCAUCUGGCUCUAAGCGUAGUAAUACUUCUCGCUACAGGGUCCCGGUGGAUGCUUGCCAUCAACCCCUAAUUUUCUAUGGUUGACCUCGGAUCGGGUAGGGAUACCCGCUGAACUUAAGCAUAUCAAUAAGCGGAGGA
rnacentral:misc_RNA from 1 species